CCCUUAGAUGUUCUGGGCCGCACGCGCGCUACACUGACGAAGUCAGCGAGCAUCUCCUACGCCGAAAGGUGCGGGGAAUCUUGUGAAACUUUGUCGUGCUGGGGAUUGAUUUUUGAAAUUCUUGAUCAUAAACGAGGAAUUCCUAGUAAGCGCAAGUCAGCAGCUUGCGUUGAUUACGUCCCUGCCCUUUGUACACACCGCCCGUCGCUACUACCGAUUGAAUGGUUUAGUGAGAUGUUUGGACCGGAACUCUCUUGCUCAGCAAUGGGCGAGAGAGGGUCUGGGAAGUCCCUCUAACUGUAUCAUUUAGAGGAAGUAAAAGUCGUAACA
rnacentral:rRNA from 1 species